AUAGUAAAAUUAAUAAAAAUUAACAGGAGGUGGUAAAAAUCUUGGAAUGAUUUGGGUAAUGAUUUAGAGUUGGAGAUGAAAGAGAAGAGAUGAAGUUUCAGAAGAAAGAAAAACAUAAGAGAGAACACUGAGAAGGAAGAGAAGAAAUAGAACUAGAAUGGUGACCAGGGAACGGUGGGGAAUAAUGCAUUCUCUAACG
rnacentral:lncRNA from 1 species